CCUACGGGCGACUGCAGUGGGGAAUAUUGGACAAUGGGCGAAAGCCUGAUCCAGCCAUGCCGCGUGUGUGAAGAAGGCCUUCGGGUUGUAAAGCACUUUCAGUGGGGAAGAAAGCCUUGGGGCUAAUACCCUCGAGGAAGGACAUCACCCACAGAAGAAGCACCGGCUAACUCCGUGCCAGCAGCCGCGGUAAUACGGAGGGUGCGAGCGUUAAUCGGAAUUACUGGGCGUAAAGCGCGCGUAGGCGGUCUGAUAAGCCGGUUGUGAAAGCCCCGGGCUCAACCUGGGAACGGCAUCCGGAACUGUCAGGCUAGAGUGCAGGAGAGGAAGGUAGAAUUCCCGGUGUAGCGGUGAAAUGCGUAGAGAUCGGGAGGAAUACCAGUGGCGAAGGCGGCCUUCUGGACUGACACUGACGCUGAGGUGCGAAAGCGUGGGUAGCAAACAGGAUUAGAUACCCUUGUAGUC
rnacentral:rRNA from 1 species